rnacentral:rRNA from 1 species
GACGAACGCUGGCGGCGUGCUUAACACAUGCAAGUCGAACGGAAAGGCCCUGCUUUUGUGGGGUGCUCGAGUGGCGAACGGGUGAGUAACACGUGAGUAACCUGCCCUUGACUUUGGGAUAACUUCAGGAAACUGGGGCUAAUACCGGAUAGGAGCUCCUGCUGCAUGGUGGGGGUUGGAAAGUUUCGGCGGUUGGGGAUGGACUCGCGGCUUAUCAGCUUGUUGGUGGGGUAGUGGCUUACCAAGGCUUUGACGGGUAGCCGGCCUGAGAGGGUGACCGGCCACAUUGGGACUGGGAUACGGCCCCGACUCCUACGGGAGGCAGCAGUGGGGAAUAUUGCACAAUGGGCGGAAGCCUGAUGCAGCAACGCCGCGGGCGGGAUGACGGCCUUCGGGUUGUAAACCGCUUUCGCCUGUGACGAAGCGUGAGUGACGGUAAUGGGUAAAGAGGCACCGGCUAACUACGUG